UACAGAGGUCCCAAGCGUUGUUCGGAUUCACUGGGCGUAAAGGGUGCGUAGGUGGCCAGGUAAGUCUGAUGUGAAAUCUCGGAGCUCAACUCCGAAACUGCAUUGGAUACUAUCUGGCUGGAGGGUCGGAGGGGGGACUGGAAUUCUCGGUGUAGCAGUGAAAUGCGUAGAUAUCGAGAGGAACACCAGUGGCGAAGGCGGCUCACUGGCCCGAUACUGACGCUGAGGCACGAAAGCGUGGGGAGCAAACAGG
rnacentral:rRNA from 1 species